UGGGGAAUAUUGCGCAAUGGGCGAAAGCCUGACGCAGCGACGCCGCGUGUGGGAUGACGGCCUUCGGGUUGUAAACCACUGUCGGGAGGGACGAAUGCGCCGCAAGGCGAGUGACGGUACCUCCAAAGGAAGCACCGGCUAACUCCGUGCCAGCAGCCGCGGUAAUACGGAGGGUGCGAGCAGUUGUCCGGAAUCACUGGGCGUAAAGGGCGCGUAGGUGGCGACCCAAGUCAAUGGUGAAAGCUCGCCGCUUAACGGCGAGUCGGCCACUGAUACUGGGUUGCUGCGAGCACU
rnacentral:rRNA from 1 species